GUUUUAGCCAUAUAUAUAUAUACAAAAAUUAGAAUGAUACAAAGAAAAUUAGCAUGACUUCUGAACAAAGAUGACACAAAAAUUCGUGAAACAUCCCAUGUUUAU